UUUGACGAUUUUCAUGAGUGCGAUUUUUUUCUUUGACAGCAGGCUCUGCGCGAAAUGACGUCGGUGUGUAAGAUGCUAGAGCAGGUGUUGGUGAACGGCAACCGGUUUUACCGAGUUCAGAACGAUCAGACCAAAGUGUAUCCCAGCAUUACGACCGUUUUAGGCAGCGUUAUUGCGAAGCCGGAGCUAGAGAAUUGGCAGCGGAAGGUUUCUCUACUUGAAUUUAAGAAGCAGUUGCAAUUGUGCGCGGAGAGACGCGAGCUUCCAGGCCUCGGAACGGUUCAAAUUCUGCCAGGGGAGAGAGUGCUGGAAGACAUGGUCAGGGAGUCGAUGACAGCUCCCGAUAAAAUUGGGUGUUGGCUCCCCUUUGGCGAUGGGGUUUUUUCUUUAUGUGAAGUGUGACAUGGCGUUGAGUUUCGGCACAGAGGUGCACGCGAUCAUAGAGAAGUUGAUUUUGACGAAUGCGGACGACAUGCCGUGCGACCCUGAAUACGUGACAGUGAAGGAUUCCUUUCGCGCGUGGCGUCGCCAAGUGGAGAGCAGCGGAUCCAAGAUCAUCAAGACUGAGGUUCAGGUGGUUUCAAAGAGAUACGGGUAUGCGGGAACUAUGGAUGCUUUAUUGAGGACGGUCGAAGUGCCCUCGGGGAAGGAGAUAUGGACAGUCUUAGAUUGGAAGACGAGCAACGCUAUUAGGAAUGAAUACGCGCUGCAAGUCGCCGCGUACGCCAAGGCUUACGAGGAGAUGACCGGCACGCCAAUCGACAGAGCAGCUGUGGUUAGGUUCAACAAGAAAGGCUCGCCAACCUACGAAGUCAAAACGGUGCACAAUUUAGAAGAGGCGUUUGACGCGUUCUGCUCGGUCUUACACAUUUGGCAGAUGACGAAUCAGAGCCUGUUUUGACAGAUCGAACCCACGUCGAGAGAGACAACGCGACGCGUGUCGUUUCGUGCAUCGCGUCCCUUCAUUCCACUAAA